ACCGCGGAUAGCUCAGCAGGUUAGAGCAUGUGCCCGGUAUGCGGAGGGUCGCCGGUUCGAUUCCGGCUCGCGGGA
rnacentral:tRNA from 1 species